ACGGAGGGUGCAAGCGUUGUUCGGAAUUACUGGGCGUAAAGCGCGUGCAGGCGGACUCAGAAGUCGGGUGUGAAAGCCCCGGGCUUAACUCGGGAAGUGCGCUCGAAACCAUGGGUCUUGAGAACCGGAGGGGAUCGUGGAAUUCCGAGUGUAGAGGUGAAAUGCGUAGAUAUUCGGAGGAACACCGGUGGCGAAGGCGACGACCUGGACGAUUUCUGACGCUGAGACGCGAAAGCGUGGGUAGCAAACAG
rnacentral:rRNA from 1 species